ensembl:piRNA 21ur-5107 ncRNA
UCCGAAUUCCGAAUUGAAACU